UGUGUGUGUGUGUGUGUGUGUGUGUGUGCGUUUGUAUUCAUGACAUCUCAGGACAAUUUUAUGAUAACACACCUUCACAAUGAGGACCUGUGGAAAAAUGAGGACAUUUUUCGCGUCCUCAUAUUUCCACGCAGUCUACACUACUCUAGAGCUCACGAGGAUACUCCCACACCAAAAAUAAGUGAUGUCCUGAAAGAGCACAAUUUUCAGAAAUUGUGUGUUUAAGUGUGUUUAACUUUCGACUCACUUUUCAUUUGGAAAACUAGUGGCCAACUUCGGUACUUAACACACUUUUAACACACUUUCAGUGACGUCAUUGUGCAGGACCUCAAAUGUCAUCUUUUUCGGACUGACUCACACAUUUUCCCCGCCCUCGUCCUGAUAAGUCACAUCAAUUAGCAGUGACACAAAAUCCAACAUGUGAAGCAGCCAGACAAUCCUACUCUCAAACACGACCACGCAUGGAUGACCAUCGGGUAAGCAAUUCCUUUUCGUUUAUCUUACCGUAACAUAGAAGUUGUUUAAUAUAACCGUGUUUAACAGUGCCCACCAAAGGUAAUAUCAUUCAAUAAGACAGCUAGCUAGCUAGCUAGCUCGAUCGUUAGCAUGCUAAUAAGCUUCCAGUAAAAGUAAUGUGGACAUGUCCUGCAGGCAAGGUUCUGGAAAACUUUUCUAAAUAUUUAACAACACAGUCUGUGGAACUUGGUUUUGGUGCCAUAUGUUUAUUUCAGUGCAGUAUUUGUUUUAUUCGAUUGCAGUUAAUUUAAAUUAGUUAGUACAGGUAGCCUAAUGAAAGUGGGCCAGGCACUUCUAGCAUUUACGCUAAGCCCGGUGUAUUUACACUGUUUAUUCUUGUGCUGAUUCAAUUGUACACCGUUUCAAUGAAAAAACAAACAAACGUUUGCAAUGAAAUUAUAGCAGAAUUCAGCUUUGUUGGUACAUUUGGUCAAGACAAUAUUGUGUUACUCUAUUUUAAUUUUACAUUGUUAUCUGCCUGACAAAUGGUUUGCCCGAAUCUAUUAGUCUGACCAGCAAAUGUUUGAUGAAUUGAAUUUUUGUAUUUUUGAGGAAGAAAAUAAUAUUCCUUUGGCUCAGUACUUUCUGAGCCAAAAUAAGUGCUGCCAUAAUAUUGUGCUUGCUUGUCUGGCUGACUUCUUCUCACUUUCCAUUGUAGAUGUUUACUGGUGGUGAUAAUCUCACAAAGAAGAACCAGACUGAGCCCUGAAUCUGAGGCUGCUCCUUUUAUCUGGAGUCAACAAGCCUUGUUUGAAAGCCCAGUGGAUCAAUGAUUAUAAAGACACCAAGUGAAAGGUACCUGAUUGAACCCUCUGGAGACCAAGAAUGGAGUGAGAGAUCCACUUCAUCCUUACAACAGACACCAAGUGACCUGACUGAACCCUCUGGAGACCAUGAAUGGAAUGAGAGAUAAAUUCUCAAAAUUCUCAAAUUUUCAAAAUUCUCAUUAUUUCCUGGAAUAUCUUAUUUUGAUUAUUUUAUUUUUCCAUUUUUAAUAAAUAAUGCCUUCUUUUACAGGUGGGAAUAAGAGACGCACGUGGACAGAUGAUGAAGUGAAGGCUGUUGAGCGACAUAUGUUUGAUUUCAUAACAAGCCAUAAAGUUUCAGGUAAAACGAGCUGGGAGUCCUGUCUCCACGCAGAGCCAGCAGCUCUGAAAGACAGAGGCUGGGUGUCCAUCAAAAACUACAUCCACAACAGGAUAUAACUGCAUUAAAAAGGGAAAUGAAUGGCUAGUCCAUUUAAAUGCGAGCACGUCUGGGUACAUUUCAGUUCAAGUUAACUAAAGCAAUAGCAAUGGUGCAUUUAGGGUGGGAUGGUCAAUUAUGGAUUUCAUAUUUGUUGUUUAAUACUGUGUUUCACGUUUGUUUUUUCAUGAUCUUCAAGAGCAAUUUGGAAAAUCCUUGAAGAUGUAUGAACAUGUAAAUUAUACUGUAUAUCAGGCAUGUCCCGAUCUGGGCCUGGAGGGCCACUGUCGUGCCUGUUUUCCAGCUCUCCCGGCUGCAUCACACCUGUUUCAGAUGAUCAGUUCAUCAGUCAGCUCUGAUGCAGCACUAGAACAUCCUGGGAGAGCUGGAAAACAAAAAGACAGCGGCCCUUGAGGACCGACCUUGGACACCCCUGCUGUAUAUAAACGUACGUACGAUAUACAAACUUCUCACAAAAGAUAGGCUUAUUAGGUUUGAGGUGAUAUUUCGGAAAAACCCUAAAACAUUUGAAUUCAUCCUAUUUCAAGAAUUUCAAUACUUUUUGAAAAGUUGCUUUUGUCUAACGGUAGCUAAAGAAGUUGCUACACACAUGGCACAAUAUAUCGCCAGAUUCAUUAAAAAUUCUUCAUCGCAGUAUUCACAUUUUGACAUAAUCUUCUUCAGUUCAAACAACCCUCAUCUAUUGCAGUGCUUUGUGUCAUGGAGAGGAGGUGGCAUGUUUUCUGUGUUCAUAAUUUCAUAUUUGUCAGCAAUUAAAA